GGGUUCGAUUCCGGAGAGGGAGCCUGAGAAACGGCUACCACAUCCAAGGAAGGCAGCAGGCGCGCAAAUUACCCAAUCCCGACACGGGGAGGUAGUGACAAUAAAUAACAAUACGGGGCUCAUUUGGGUCUCGUAAUUGGAAUGAGUACAAUUUAAAUCUCUUAACGAGGAACAAUUGGAGGGCAAGUCUGGUGCCAGCAGCCGCGGUAAUUCCAGCUCCAAUAGCGUAUAUUAAAGUUGUUGCAGUUAAAAAGCUCGUAGUUGAACCUCGGAGUCUACCCAUUGGUCAGGCUUAAUUGUCUGCACUGGUGAGAUGGAUCUCUACCUUCUGAGGAACUUUCAUGCCAUUUAUUUGGUGUGAUGGGAAAUCAGGACUGUUACUUUGAAAAAAUUAGAGUGUUUAAAGCAGACUAUCGUCUGAAUACAUUAGCAUGGAAUAAUGAAAUAGGACGGACUGAUUCUAUUUCGUUGGUUUCUAGGAUCACCGUAAUGAUUAAUAGGGAUAGUUGGGGGCAUUAGUAUUCAAUUGUCAGAGGUGAAAUUCUUGGAUUUAUUGAAGACUAACUACUGCGAAAGCAUUUGCCAAGGAUGUUUUCAUUAAUCAAGAACGAAAGUUAGGGGAUCGAAGACGAUCAGAUACCG
rnacentral:rRNA from 1 species